rnacentral:rRNA from 1 species
GGGGAUAUUUACAUAAGACGAGAAGACCCCAUGGAGCUUUAAACCCGAUGUCACCCAUUUUCCUCUACACCCUAAUAUUCAAUUUGGCCCUGCCCUGUCGGUUUUAGGUUGGGGUGACCACGGAGUAUAAUAUACCCUCCAUGAAAAAGGGAGUAAUAAUCCUUAUUAGAGAACAACACUUCUAAAAAUUAAAACAUUAAUUUAUAAUGAUCCGAUAUUCGAUCAACGAACCAAGUUACCCUGGGGAUAACAGCGCAAUCUGCCUCAAGAGCCCCUAUCGACAGGCGGGUUUACGACCUCGAUGUUGGAUCAGGGCAUCCCAGUGGUGCAGCAGCUACUAAAGGUUCGUUUGUUCAACGAUUAAAACCCU